UACGUAGGGGGGCAACGUUGUCCGGAAUUAUUGGGCGUAAAGAGCGUGUAGGCGGCCAGAUAAGUCCGCUGUGAAAUCUCGAGGCUCAACUUCGAGCUGUCGGUGGAAACUGUCUGGCUAGAGUCCGGAAGAGGAGAAUGGAAUUCCUGGUGUAGCGGUGAAAUGCGCAAAUAUCAGGAGGAACACCAAUUGCGAAGGCAGCUCGCUGGGACGUUACUGACGCUGAGACGCGAAAGCGUGGGGGAGCAAACAGG
rnacentral:rRNA from 1 species